UUAUAACAUAAUCAUUAUCAAAUGGGAAGCAUCCAUGAUCAAUGUUUGCAUGCAAAUUGAUGGACUCCAAAUUUUCGAAAUGGACUCUCAGAAUACAUAUGCCCUGAGUCCCCAGGACUUCCGGUUUCGAAGAGCUAUGUAAAACCCUGCUACAAUCAACAAACUGAC